rnacentral:misc_RNA from 1 species
ACAUUACUCAGCCUACGUAAUCAAUUUAAGCUAAUAAGGAAGUGGAAGAAAAAAUGGUUCAACAAAAUCAUUAACGUCCUAUGAUAGUGCUCACAAUAAGCUUGCAAAAUAGGGCAGGUAGCAGCAAAGAAAUUCAUAAGUAAACAUGACAGCAUGCUAAGACAUUCAAAAUAUAUACCCACAACAUGCAAAGUAUAAAAGUAAACAA